AACUCAUUUGCGCUCGUCUCCAGCAUUUGUUCAUCUGUUUCCACGCGCGCGCCGGAGAGCGAGAGCCAUUGCGACUCGACACAGCGCAGUGUUCAGCAGCAGCCACUCGUGUGUCCGUGCCUCCUAUCACCUCUCGCAAGAAGUGGAUACUGAAAUUGUUUCGCCGUCGGACGUUUGGUGUUUAAAUCCUCUUUGACUCACAAACUGAUCAUGGAGAAUGAGAACAAAUACCUUCCGCAGCUGCUGGCGGAACGCGACAGCCUGGACGCGUCGUUCACCCACGCCUUGAAACUUAUAACAGCAGAAAUUGAGAGGGUUGAGAAGGGAGAGACAGAGAAAGAUACAGAAAGCUACCUGGACCUCUUUACCCAGAAAAACAUCAAACUGAAGGAAAGGAUUCUCAUACCAGUCAAACAGUACCCCAAGUUUAACUUUGUUGGGAAGAUCCUCGGACCACAGGGGAACACAAUCAAGAGACUGCAGGAGGAAACCGGCGCGAAGAUCUCUGUGCUAGGAAAAGGGUCCAUGAGGGACAAAGUCAAGGAGGAUGGCUUGAGGAAAAGUGGAGAACCAAAGUAUGCACAUUUGUCCAUGGAGCUUCAUGUGUUUAUCGAGGUGUUUGCUCCUGUUCCUGAUGCAUAUGUGCGCAUGGCUCAUGCCAUGGAGGAGAUCAAAAAGUUCUUGUUCCCUGACAUGAUGGAUGAGAUUUGCCAGGAGCAGUUCAUGGAGAUGAAGUUUCUAAACGGUGGCCAGGAACACGGGGGCAGAGGCCGAGGAGGGCCACCAAUCAGAGGCCGUGGAGGUCUACCUCCUCCUGGAGUACCCAGGGGUCGUGGUAUGCCCCCACGUGGUGGUCGUGGCGGACCCCCUCGAGGUGGAGCCACAAGGGGAUCACCUGCAGGUAGAGGUGGACCAUCAGUCCAGCCACCCAGAGGAGCAGCCUCCAACCGUGCCCGUCCACCCGCCCCUGCGUCUCAGCGGAUGCCCCCUCCACCACCUGCGCACCCUCCGACCCAAGACUCAUACGAAGAUUAUUCUUAUGACGAGAGCUACACAGAUGCAGGCUAUGAAUCCUAUGACAGCUACUACAGUCAGCCACAAACAGAACCAGAAUACUAUGACUACGGACAUGGAGACACACAGGAGGGAUAUGAAAAUUAUGCUCAAAAUGAUUGGAAUGGUACACAGGGCUCUGCUGGCGGUGGAAAAGCUCCCACUCAGAGACCGACCAAGCCUGGGUUAAGGGAGCACCCCUAUGGACGAUACUAAAUCUGACUAGUGGAACGUCACCCAACGCAUCGCCAUGCCAACUGUCUCCCAUGGCAGCUCACGCUUUAAGCUACCCGACAAAAGUUGUGAUGCCUGGAAAUUCCUGGAAAUGUGAAGUUUAAUUGGGGAUGUCAGACCUCUCCUCAGGAAAAGACAAGUGUUUGUUUGCAGUGUAAGAACAAUCUUACCUCUGAACACCAGCUGUCUUUAAGGAAACGUCCAUGGACCAUACAGUCUGACUCAACAGCUUCUGAAUGGGCUGGAAAUGCAGAAAUCGAUGGUCCUGUCGACUAAAGUUUGAACCAGCAACCUGUUAAUGGGUUAAAACGGGAAUGUCUUGAGUUCUUGGUGGUGUUUUUAUUGGCUCACCAGUUGUAAUGCAAGGUCAUUUUCUCUAUUCUGAAAGUUUCUUUUUUUCUGUUCACCUCAUCCAGUGCUUUCUAAGCACACUUUACUUUAAAUGGACUGCUUCUGUUCAUUUUAGCUAAGAAAUCAUUUUAACAAGCUCAAAAAUUCUGUCCAGGCUCUCCAGACGUCUACUUCAGACAAUACUCCAGUGCUUUUAUUCUGCAAGACAAGCAUGUCUUCCUCGGUUCCUUGCUCGGAGGAACGUACAUGCUAAUUUAGAGCUGUCCAGCCCCUAUCUCUUAGCACAGACUUUGUCCUUUAAUUGCCAUGGUAAUUUUCAUCGUGCUCGUGAGUAGAUAUGUUUGAAUGGGUUUAUGCUGGUGGAGCUCUAACGUUUUAACCUUCUGAAUAAAGGUCUUUCUUGCCUUAAUUGAGAGCUUACCAUAAAUGCUGCUUUUUCUAGUCCUCGCUGUGUUUGUCACUGUUAGUGUACAUUGCUGUGGCUUCCAUCCUUUGCUCACCCCCCCACCUCCCUCCAGUGCACAUAGGAUUUGAGCCUGUCAUUUUGACCAAUUACUAUCUUUGACACUGUGUCCGUCCCCCCACGGAGCUGCCACUGUUUGCCGUCUGGCUAACAGAACUAAUGCCUUAUUGCAUUAGAGACAAAUCAGUCAUCAGUAUAGAUUUUAAUAAGCAUCAGCCACCGCUCAAGUGCCAUCGAACAAUUGGAAAUGGAUGUGUGUGGGUAGGAGGUGGACUGAUGCGUAUGCAGACUUCAUCCAUAAUGAGAAAUUGCAAAAGCAGAUAAUGGAAAUAUUUAAAUAAUUUCCCAGACAGAUACGAGGGGGUAAAGAAAACUAGUCUCAAUCAGGAGGAAAUAUUCAUACCCACUGUGUGCACUUAAUGCGUCUUUGUUUACAUGGUCAUAUCUGUUUAUGUCAGACAUGCAUGGCCUACAGCUGCUGGGGUAAUGCCUCUGAGGUAAUGUGAAAGGAAUGUGUGGUGGUCUGAAGCCGGGGCAUUGUGGCUUGGCAGCUCUUUCCUCUUAACACACAUUGUGCAUGCUGAAAACAGGAAGCAUGGCUUUACGAAUGCAAAUGAAACGCUUCCACCACUGAAUGUCUGUCUUCCUACAUGGCUUUUUAGCUAGUUUCACACAUAACCAGUACACACUCUCCAGGGAGUCAGGGUUUUGAGUGCACAGGAAUGAGUUGUGACUGUUUCUUGCUCACCUCCUUCAGUGUGAAAAAAGCUGAUAAUAACUAGGCCUGAUGAAUCGAAUUCAUCCAUGUGGAAUCUGGCUUGAGUAAUCCGUAGCCCUCCACCUUGGCUAUCACUGAAUGUAACAUUCCACUGCAUGUUUUCCAACAUCCACAUAAUCAGACGCAAAUAACAAAAUGUAGGGAAGCCAUGGGAAUUGCUUGGGAUUAGUGAUGAAAUACAAGAGCCAGGAGUCUAUAUUAUUUUAUUUUCCUAAAAGAAUUGAUGAGGCUGUAUUUACAAUUCAGCUAAAAUGGAUUUGAGCUUACUGAAGUGCCUAGCUGUUGGCCUUCUCUCAGUAGGAGCAAACUAAAGACUUUGGGGUCAAAGAAACCAGUGACUUUCAGAACUUUUCUUUAAAUUUGAAAGUAAUUCAAACUUGUUUGGAAGUUGAUGUAUCAAAGAGCACUCACACUCAGCCUGCAUAUUAUGUAUGACUACAAAGAGAGUACUUAUUCA